rnacentral:rRNA from 1 species
ACUAAGCGUACACGGUGGAUGCCCUGGCAGUCAGAGGCGAUGAAGGACGUGCUAAUCUGCGAUAAGCGUCGGUAAGGUGAUAUGAACCGUUAUAACCGGCGAUUUCCGAAUGGGGAAACCCAGUGUGAUUCGUCACACUAUCAUUAACUGAAUCCAUAGGUUAAUGAGGCGAACCGGGGGAACUGAAACAUCUAAGUACCCCGAGGAAAAGAAAUCAACCGAGAUUCCCCCAGUAGCGGCGAGCGAACGGGGAGCAGCCCAGAGCCUGAAUCAGUGUGUGUGUUAGUGGAAGCGUCUGGAAAGGCGUGCGAUACAGGGUGACAGCCCCGUACACAAAAAUGCACAUACUGUGAGCUCGAUGAGUAGGGCGGGACACGUGGUAUCCUGUCUGAAUAUGGGGGGACCAUCCUCCAAGGCUAAAUACUCCUGACUGACCGAUAGUGAACCAGUACCGUGAGGGAAAGGCGAAAAGAACCCCGGCGAGGGGAGUGAAAAAGAACCUGAAACCGUGUACGUACAAGCAGUGGGAGCACGCUUAGGCGUGUGACUGCGUACCUUUUGUAUAAUGGGUCAGCGACUUAUAUUCUGUAGCAAGGUUAACCGAAUAGGGGAGCCGAAGGGAAACCGAGUCUUAACUGGGCGUUAAGUUGCAGGGUAUAGACCCGAAACCCGGUGAUCUAGCCAUGGGCAGGUUGAAGGUUGGGUAACACUAACUGGAGGACCGAACCGACUAAUGUUGAAAAAUUAGCGGAUGACUUGUGGCUGGGGGUGAAAGGCCAAUCAAACCGGGAGAUAGCUGGUUCUCCCCGAAAGCUAUUUAGGUAGCGCCUCGUGAAUUCAUCUCCGGGGGUAGAGCACUGUUUCGGCAAGGGGGUCAUCCCGACUUACCAACCCGAUGCAAACUGCGAAUACCGGAGAAUGUUAUCACGGGAGACACACGGCGGGUGCUAACGUCCGUCGUGAAGAGGGAAACAACCCAGACCGCCAGCUAAGGUCCCAAAGUCAUGGUUAAGUGGGAAACGAUGUGGGAAGGCCCAGACAGCCAGGAUGUUGGCUUAGAAGCAGCCAUCAUUUAAAGAAAGCGUAAUAGCUCACUGGUCGAGUCGGCCUGCGCGGAAGAUGUAACGGGGCUAAACCAUGCACCGAAGCUGCGGCAGCGACGCUUAUGCGUUGUUGGGUAGGGGAGCGUUCUGUAAGCCUGUGAAGGUGUGCUGUGAGGUAUGCUGGAGGUAUCAGAAGUGCGAAUGCUGACAUAAGUAACGAUAAAGCGGGUGAAAAGCCCGCUCGCCGGAAGACCAAGGGUUCCUGUCCAACGUUAAUCGGGGCAGGGUGAGUCGACCCCUAAGGCGAGGCCGAAAGGCGUAGUCGAUGGGAAACAGGUUAAUAUUCCUGUACUUGGUGUUAUUGCGAAGGGGGGACGGAGAAGGCUAUGUUGGCCGGGCGACGGUUGUCCCGGUUUAAGCGUGUAGGCUGGUUUUCCAGGCAAAUCCGGAAAAUCAAGGCCGAGGCGUGAUGACGAGGCACUACGGUGCUGAAGCAACAAAUGCCCUGCUUCCAGGAAAAGCCUCUAAGCAUCAGGUAACAUCAAAUCGUACCCCAAACCGACACAGGUGGUCAGGUAGAGAAUACCAAGGCGCUUGAGAGAACUCGGGUGAAGGAACUAGGCAAAAUGGUGCCGUAACUUCGGGAGAAGGCACGCUGAUACGUAGGUGAAGCGACUUGCUCGUGGAGCUGAAAUCAGUCGAAGAUACCAGCUGGCUGCAACUGUUUAUUAAAAACACAGCACUGUGCAAACACGAAAGUGGACGUAUACGGUGUGACGCCUGCCCGGUGCCGGAAGGUUAAUUGAUGGGGUUAGCGCAAGCGAAGCUCUUGAUCGAAGCCCCGGUAAACGGCGGCCGUAACUAUAACGGUCCUAAGGUAGCGAAAUUCCUUGUCGGGUAAGUUCCGACCUGCACGAAUGGCGUAAUGAUGGCCAGGCUGUCUCCACCCGAGACUCAGUGAAAUUGAACUCGCUGUGAAGAUGCAGUGUACCCGCGGCAAGACGGAAAGACCCCGUGAACCUUUACUAUAGCUUGACACUGAACAUUGAGCCUUGAUGUGUAGGAUAGGUGGGAGGCUUUGAAGUGUGGACGCCAGUCUGCAUGGAGCCGACCUUGAAAUACCACCCUUUAAUGUUUGAUGUUCUAACGUGGACCCGUGAUCCGGGUUGCGGACAGUGUCUGGUGGGUAGUUUGACUGGGGCGGUCUCCUCCUAAAGAGUAACGGAGGAGCACGAAGGUUGGCUAAUCCUGGUCGGACAUCAGGAGGUUAGUGCAAUGGCAUAAGCCAGCUUGACUGCGAGCGUGACGGCGCGAGCAGGUGCGAAAGCAGGUCAUAGUGAUCCGGUGGUUCUGAAUGGAAGGGCCAUCGCUCAACGGAUAAAAGGUACUCCGGGGAUAACAGGCUGAUACCGCCCAAGAGUUCAUAUCGACGGCGGUGUUUGGCACCUCGAUGUCGGCUCAUCACAUCCUGGGGCUGAAGUAGGUCCCAAGGGUAUGGCUGUUCGCCAUUUAAAGUGGUACGCGAGCUGGGUUUAGAACGUCGUGAGACAGUUCGGUCCCUAUCUGCCGUGGGCGCUGGAGAACUGAGGGGGGCUGCUCCUAGUACGAGAGGACCGGAGUGGACGCAUCACUGGUGUUCGGGUUGUCAUGCCAAUGGCACUGCCCGGUAGCUAAAUGCGGAAGAGAUAAGUGCUGAAAGCAUCUAAGCACGAAACUUGCCCCGAGAUGAGUUCUCCCUGACCCUUUAAGGGUCCUGAAGGAACGUUGAAGACGACGACGUUGAUAGGCCGGGUGUGUAAGCGCAGCGAUGCGUUGAGCUAACCGGUACUAAUGAACCGUGAGGCUUAACC